GUGGUCACUGACCUGCUCUGACGCCUGCUCAUCUGUCUGCCCAACAUUCUCUGGCCCACCUGAUCCCCCACCCGACUGGAUACCUUGUUACAAUUUUGAAAGGAGAGGCCCACAUCUAACAGUAAGUGAGAAAGGCAGGUGGAGGCUCUUGUGGUCACUGACCUGCUCUGAAGCCUGCACAUCUUCUGGCCCUGAUCGAACCCACCUGAUCUCCACACCCACCUGCUUACCUUCUUACCAUCUUGAGAGGAGAGGCCCACAUCCAACAGGGAGUGUCAGAAAGGCAGUUGGAGGCCCUCGUGGUCACUGACCUGCUCUGACGCUCACUCACCUGCCUGCCCUGCUCUGACCCACCUGAUCCCCACACCCGCCUGGUUACCUCGUUACCAUCUUGAGGAGAGGCCCACAUCCAAAAGUGAAAAUCAGAAAGGCAGUUGGAGGCCCUGUGGUCUCCGACCUGCUCUGACGCUCGCCCGUUUCUCCACCUCUCCCACCCCAUCCCUGGGUGCAUUUCCACCAAAGAGGCACAGCUCCAGCAGCGAGAGGUCACAAAACAUCAAACAUGGUGAAGAUGG